rnacentral:rRNA from 1 species
AGCAGCCGCGGUAAUUCCAGCUCCAAUAGCGUAUAUUAAAGUUGUUGCAGUUAAAAAGCUCGUAGUUGAAUUUCGGGGUCAGUAGGUUGGUCGUGCCACAGGUAUGUACUGGUCUCACUGAUUCCUCCUUCCUGAUGAACCGUAAUGCCAUUAAUUUGGUGUUGCGGGGAAACUGGACUGUUACUUUGAAAAAAUUAGAGUGUUUAAAGCAGGCUAACGCUUGAAUACAUUAGCAUGGAAUAAUGAAAUAGGACGUUGAUCUUAUUUUGUUGGUUUCUAGGAUUGACGUGAUGAUUAAUAGGGAUAGUUGGGGGCAUUAGUAUUCAAUUGUCAGAGGUGAAAUUCUUGGAUUUAUUGAGGACUAACUACUGCGAAAGCAUUUGCCAAGGAUGUUUUCAUUAAUCAAGAACGAAAGUUAGGGGAUCGAAGACGAUCAGAUACCGUCGUAGUCUUAACCAUAAACUAUGCCGACUAGGGAUCGGAUGAUGUUAAUUUUUUAAUGUACUCAUUCGGCGCCUUA